rnacentral:rRNA from 1 species
CCUACGGGUGGCUGCAGUGAGGAAUAUUGGUCAAUGGACGAGAGUCUGAUCCAGCCAAGUAGCGUGAAGGAUGACUUCCCUCUGGGUUGUAAACUUCUUUUAUAUGGGAAUAAAACGUUCCACGUGUGGGAUUUUGUAUGUACCAUAUGAAUAAGGAUCGGCUAACUCCGUGCCAGCAGCCGCGGUAAUACGGAGGAUCCGAGCGUUAUCCGGAUUUAUUUGGUGUAAAGGGAGCGUAGGUGGGGUGUUAAGUCAGUUGUGAAAGUUUGCGGCUCAACCGUAAAAUUGCAGUUGAAACUGGCAGUCUUGAGUACAGUAGAGGUGAGUGGAAUUCGUGGUGUAGCGGUGAAAUGCUUAGAUAUCACGAAGAACUCCGAUUGCGAAGGCAGUUCACUGGACUGCAACUGACACUGAGGCUCGAAAGUGUGGGUAUCAAACAGGAUUAGAUACCCCUGUAGUC